rnacentral:rRNA from 1 species
CACGUAGGGUGCGAGCGUUGUCCGGAAUUAUUGGGCGUAAAGAGCUCGUAGGCGGUGUGUCGCGUCGGCCGUGAAAACCUGCAGCUUAACUGUGGGCUUGCGGUCGAUACGGGCAUCACUGGAGUUCGGCAGGGGAGACUGGAAUUCCUGGUGUAGCGGUGAAAUGCGCAGAUAUCAGGAGGAACACCGGUGGCGAAGGCGGGUCUCUGGGCUGGAACUGACGCUGAGGAGCGAAAGCGUGGGGAGCAAACGGG